GACGAGCGCUGGCGGCGUGCUUAACACAUGCAAGUCGAGCGGUAAGGCCUUUCGGGGUACACGAGCGGCGAACGGGUGAGUAACACGUGGGUGAUCUGCCCUGCACUUCGGGAUAAGCCUGGGAAACUGGGUCUAAUACCGGAUAUGACCUCCUAUCGCAUGGUGGGUGGUGGAAAGAUUUAUCGGUGCAGGAUGGGCCCGCGGCCUAUCAGCUUGUUGGUGGGGUAAUGGCCUACCAAGGCGACGACGGGUAGCCGACCUGAGAGGGUGACCGGCCACACUGGGACUGAGACACGGCCCAGACUCCUACGGGAGGCAGCAGUGGGGAAUAUUGCACAAUGGGCGAAAGCCUGAUGCAGCGACGCCGCGUGAGGGAUGACGGCCUUCGGGUUGUAAACCUCUUUCAGCAGGGACGAAGCGCAAGUGACGGUACCUGCAGAAGAAGCACCGGCUAACUACGU
rnacentral:rRNA from 1 species